AUAAGAGGUCCCGCCUGCCCUGUGACUCUAAGUUUAACGGCCGCGGUAUUUUGACCGUGCGAAGGUAGCGCAAUCACUUGUCUUUUAAAUGGAGACCUGUAUGAAUGGCAUAACGAGGGCUUAGCUGUCUCCUUUCUCCAGUCAAUGAAAUUGAUCUCCCCGUGCAGAAGCGGGGAUAAGACCAUAAGACGAGAAGACCCUAUGGAGCUUUAGACGCCAAGACAGACCAUGUUAAACACCUCCUCAUAAGGAGCCCAAACCAAAUGGUCCCUGCCCUAGUGUCUUUGGUUGGGGCGACCGCGGGGAAACAUAAAACCCCCAUGUGGAAUGGGAGCACUCUCUCCUACAACUAAGAGCUACAGCUCUAAUGAACAGAAUUUCUGACCAACAAGAUCCGGCAGUGCCGAUCAACGGACCGAGUUACCCUAGGGAUAACAGCGCAAUCCCCUUUUAGAGCCCAUAUCGACAAGGGGGUUUACGACCUCGAUGUUGGAUCAGGACAUCCUAAUGGUGCAGCCGCUAUUAAGGGUUCGUUUGUUCAACGAUUAAAGUCC
rnacentral:rRNA from 1 species